rnacentral:rRNA from 1 species
CCUACGGGGGGCAGCAGUGGGGGAUAUUGCACAAUGGGGGAAACCCUGAUGCAGCGACGCCGCGUGUGGGAAGACGGUCCUCUGGAUUGUAAACCACUGUCCCCAGGGACGAAGAUGACGGUACCUGGGGAGGAAGCUCCGGCUAACUACGUGCCAGCAGCCGCGGUAAUACGUAGGGAGCGAGCGUUGUCCGGAAUUCCUGGGUGUAAGGGGAGCGUAGGCGGGACUGCAAGUUGGGUGUCAAAUCUACCGGCUCAACCGGUAGCCGCACUCAAAACUGCAGUUCUUGAGUGAAGUAGAGGCAGGCGGAAUUCCUAGUGUAGCGGUGAAAUGCGUAGAUAUUAGGAGGAACACCAGUGGCGAAGGCGGCCUGCUGGGCUUUUACUGACGCUGAGGCUCGAAAGUGUGGGGAGCAAACAGGAUUAGAUACCCCAGUAGUC